GGUGGUGGUCAGGUGGUUUAGGACGUUUACUUACCACUUCGGAGGUCCGAGGUUCGAAUCCUCGCCAUCACCG
rnacentral:tRNA from 1 species